rnacentral:rRNA from 1 species
GCAGCCUGAUCAGCCAUGCCGCGUGUGGGAAGAAGGCCUUCGGGUUGUAAACCACUUUUGUCAGGGAAGAAACGGUCUAAUCUAAUAAAUUGGACUAAUGACGGUACCUGAAGAAUAAGCACCGGCUAACUACGUGCCACCAGCCGCGGUAAUACGUACGGUGCAAGCGUUAAUCGGAAUUACUGGGCGUAAAGCGUGCGCAGGCGGCUAUGCAAGACAGAUGUGAAAUCCCCGGGCUCAACCUGGGAACUGCAUUUGGGACUGCAUGGCUAGAGUACGGCAGACGGGGAUGGAAUUCCGCGUGUAGCAAUGAAAUGCGUAGAUAUGCGGAGGAACACCGAUGGCGAAGGCAAUCCCCUGGGCCUGUACUGACGCUCAUGCACGAAAGCGUGGGGAGCAAACAGGAUUAGAUACCCUGGUAGUCCACGCCCUAAACGAUGUCAACUGGUUGUUGGACGGCUUGCUGUUCAGUAACGAAGCUAACGCGUGAAGUUGACCGCCUGGGGAGUACGGCCGCAAGGUUGAAACUCGAGGAAUUGACGGGGACCCGCACAAGCGGUGGAUGAUGUGGUUUAAUUCGAUGCAACGCGAAAAACCUUACC